rnacentral:rRNA from 1 species
UACGGAGGAUGCGAGCGUUAUCCGGAUUCAUUGGGUUUAAAGGGUGCGUAGGCGGACUAUUAAGUCAGUGGUGAAAUCCUGCAGCUUAACUGCAGAACUGCCAUUGAUACUGAUAGACUUGAAUAUGGAUGAGGUAGGCGGAAUGUGUAGUGUAGCGGUGAAAUGCUUAGAUAUUACACAGAACACCGAUUGCGAAGGCAGCUUACUGAGCCGACACUGACGCUGAGGCACGAAAGCGUGGGGAUCGAACAGG